UACGUAGGUGGCAAGCGUUGUCCGGAUUUAUUGGGUUUAAAGGGUGCGUAGGCGGCCCUGUAAGUCAGUGCUGAAAUAUCCCGGCUUAACCGGGAGGGUGGCAUUGAUACUGCGGGGCUAGAGUACAGAUGAGGUAGGCGGAAUUCCCGGUGUAGCGGUGAAAUGCGCAGAUAUCGGGAGGAACACCAGUAGCGAAGGCGGCUCGCUGGGCCACACCUGACGCUGAGACGCGAAAGCUAGGGGAGCGAACAGG
rnacentral:rRNA from 1 species